rnacentral:rRNA from 1 species
CCUACGGGAGGCAGCAGUGAGGAAUAUUGGUCAAUGGGCGAGAGCCUGAACCAGCCAAGUCGCGUGAGGGAGUACUGCCCUAUGGGUUGUAAACCUCUUUUGUCGGGGAGCAAAAGCCGGACGUGUCCGGCUGUGAGAGUACCCGAAGAAAAAGCAUCGGCUAACUCCGUGCCAGCAGCCGCGGUAAUACGGAGGAUGCGAGCGUUAUCCGGGUUGAUUGGGUUUAAAGGGGGCGCAGGCGGAUUUUUAAGUUAGUGGGCAAAUCGUGGGGCUCAACCCCAUCCAGCCGUUGAGACUGGCGAUCUAGAGUGUGCGUGAGGUAUGCGGAAUGCGUGGUGUAGCGGUGAAAUGCAUAGAUAUCACGCAGAACCCCGAUUGCGAAGGCAGCAUACCGGUGCACAACUGACGCUCAGGCACGAAAGCGUGGGUAUCGAACAGGAUUAGAUACCCGGGUAGUC